ACGGGUGAGUAACACGUGGGUAACCUGCCCUAUAGACCGGGAUAACUCGCGGAAACGCGUGCUAAUACCGGAUAACACAGCGGAGCGCAUGCUCCGGUGUUGAAAGGUGGUUCUGCUACCGCUAUAGGAUGGGCCCGCGGCGCAUUAGCUAGUUGGUGGGGUAACGGCCUACCAAGGCGACGAUGCGUAGCCGACCUGAGAGGGUGAUCGGCCACACUGGGACUGAGACACGGCCCAGACUCCUACGGGAGGCAGCAGUAGGGAAUCUUCCACAAUGGGCGAAAGCCUGAUGGAGCAACGCCGCGUGAGCGAAGAAGGUCUUCGGAUCGUAAAGCUCUGUUGUAAGGGAAGAACAAGUGCGGUAGUAACUGACCGCACCCUGACGGUACCUUACGAGAAAGCCACGGCUAACUACGUGCCAGCAGCCGCGGUAAUACGUAGGUGGCGAGCGUUGUCCGGAAUUAUUGGGCGUAAAGCGCGCGCAGGUGGUCUCUUAAGUCUGAUGUGAAAGCCCCCGGCUCAACCGGGGAGGGUCAUUGGAAACUGGGAGACUUGAGUGCAGGAGAGGGAAGCGGAAUUC
rnacentral:rRNA from 1 species